UGGGGAAUUUUGGACAAUGGGGGAAACCCUGAUCCAGCCAUCCCGCGUGUUCGAUGAAGGCCUUCGGGUUGUAAAGCACUCUUGGCAGGAAAGAAACGUCAUGGGUUAAUACCCCGUGAAACUGACGGUACCUGCAGAAUAAGCACCGGCUAACUACGUGCCAGCAGCCGCGGUAAUACGUAGGGUGCAAGCGUUAAUCGGAAUUACUGGGCGUAAAGCGUGCGCAGGCGGUUCGGAAAGAAAGAUGUGAAAUCCCAGAGCUCAACUUUGGAACUGCAUUUUUAACUACCGGGCUAGAGUGUGUCAGAGGGAGGUGGAAUUCCGCGUGUAGCAGUGAAAUGCGUAGAUAUGCGGAGGAACACCGAUGGCGAAGGCAGCCGCCUGGGAUAACACUGACGCUCAUGCACGAAAGCGUGGGGAGCAAACAGG
rnacentral:rRNA from 1 species